rnacentral:rRNA from 1 species
GAUGAACGCUGGCGGCGUGCCUAAUACAUGCAAGUCGAGCGAACGGACGAGAAGCUUGCUUCUCUGAUGUUAGCGGCGGACGGGUGAGUAACACGUGGAUACCCUACCUAUAAGACUGAGAUAACUUCGGGAAACCGGAGCUAAUACCGGAUAAUAUUUUGAACCGCAUGGUUCAAAAGUGAAAGACGGUCUUGCUGUCACUUAUAGAUGGAUCCGCGCUGCAUUAGCUAGUUGGUAAGGUAACGGCUUACCAAGGCAACGAUGCAUAGCCGACCUGAGAGGGUGAUCGGCCACACUGGAACUGAGACACGGUCCAGACUCCUACGGGAGGCAGCAGUAGGGAAUCUUCCGCAAUGGGCGAAAGCCUGACGGAGCAACGCCGCGUGAGUGAUGAAGGUCUUCGGAUCGUAAAACUCUGUUAUUAGGGAAGAACAUAUGUGUAAGUAACUGUGCACAUCUUGACGGUACCUAAUCAGAAAGCCACGGCUAACUACGUG